rnacentral:rRNA from 1 species
GGUUAAGCGACUAAGCGUACACGGUGGAUGCCCUGGCAGUCAGAGGCGAUGAAGGGCGUGCUAAUCUGCGAUAAGCGCCGGUAAGGUGAUAUGAACCGUUAUAACCGGCGAUUUCCGAAUGGGGAAACCCAGUGUGAUUCGUCACACUAUCAUUAACUGAAUCCAUAGGUUAAUGAGGCGAACCGGGGGAACUGAAACAUCUAAGUACCCCGAGGAAAAGAAAUCAACCGAGAUUCCCCCAGUAGCGGCGAGCGAACGGGGAGGAGCCCAGAGCCUGAAUCAGCAUGUGUGUUAGUGGAAGCGUCUGGAAAGGCGCGCGAUACAGGGUGACAGCCCCGUACACAAAAGCGCAUGUGCUGUGAGCUCGAUGAGUAGGGCGGGACACGUGGUAUCCUGUCUGAAUAUGGGGGGACCAUCCUCCAAGGCUAAAUACUCCUGACUGACCGAUAGUGAACCAGUACCGUGAGGGAAAGGCGAAAAGAACCCCGGCGAGGGGAGUGAAAAAGAACCUGAAACCGUGUACGUACAAGCAGUGGGAGCCCCACCACUAAGCCAGUGGUGAACUCCACAUCCGCAUCCUUUGCUGAGGAUACGGUUAACGGAGCGAAAGCGACGUUCAACCGCAAAACAAGCAGAGGGGGCUUAGUGGUGGGGUGACUGCGUACCUUUUGUAUAAUGGGUCAGCGACUUAUAUUCUGUAGCAAGGUUAACCGAAUAGGGGAGCCGGAGGGAAACCGAGUCUUAAUUGGGCGUUAAGUUGCAGGGUAUAGACCCGAAACCCGGUGAUCUAGCCAUGGGCAGGUUGAAGGUUGGGUAACACUAACUGGAGGACCGAACCGACUAAUGUUGAAAAAUUAGCGGAUGACCUGUGGCUGGGGGUGAAAGGCCAAUCAAACCGGGAGAUAGCUGGUUCUCCCCGAAAGCUAUUUAGGUAGCGCCUCGUGAAUUCAUCUCCGGGGGUAGAGCACUGUUUCGGCUAGGGGGCCAUCCCGGCUUACCAACCCGAUGCAAACUGCGAAUACCGGAGAAUGUUAUCACGGGAGACACACGGCGGGUGCUAACGUCCGUCGUGAAGAGGGAAACAACCCAGACCGCCAGCUAAGGUCCCAAAGUCAUGGUUAAGUGGGAAACGAUGUGGGAAGGCCCAGACAGCCAGGAUGUUGGCUUAGAAGCAGCCAUCAUUUAAAGAAAGCGUAAUAGCUCACUGGUCGAGUCGGCCUGCGCGGAAGAUGUAACGGGGCUAAACCAUGCACCGAAGCUGCGGCAGCGAACGUAUCACUUAAAGCGAUUCAGCGGGUUACGAUUGACGGAGCGAAGCGACGUCAAAGCGUAUACAAAGUCGAGUCGGUUUAAGGAUACGUUCGUUGGGUAGGGGAGCGUUCUGUAAGCCCGUGAAGGUGGCCUGUGAGGGUUGCUGGAGGUAUCAGAAGUGCGAAUGCUGACAUAAGUAACGAUAAAGCGGGUGAAAAGCCCGCUCGCCGGAAGACCAAGGGUUCCUGUCCAACGUUAAUCGGGGCAGGGUGAGUCGACCCCUAAGGCGAGGCCGAAAGGCGUAGUCGAUGGGAAACGGGUUAAUAUUCCCGUACUUGGUGUUACUGCGAAGGGGGGACGGAGAAGGCUAUGUUGGCCGGGCGACGGUUGUCCCGGUUUAAGCGUGUAGGUGUGUGUUCCAGGUAAAUCCGGUUCACUUUAACACUGAGGCGUGACGACGAGGCACUACGGUGCUGAAGCAACAAAUGCCCUGCUUCCAGGAAAAGCCUCUAAGCAUCAGGUAACACGAAAUCGUACCCCAAACCGACACAGGUGGUCAGGUAGAGAAUACCAAGGCGCUUGAGAGAACUCGGGUGAAGGAACUAGGCAAAAUGGUGCCGUAACUUCGGGAGAAGGCACGCUGACACGUAGGUGAAGUGAUUUACUCAUGGAGCUGAAGUCAGUCGAAGAUACCAGCUGGCUGCAACUGUUUAUUAAAAACACAGCACUGUGCAAACACGAAAGUGGACGUAUACGGUGUGACGCCUGCCCGGUGCCGGAAGGUUAAUUGAUGGGGUCAGCGUAAGCGAAGCUCCUGAUCGAAGCCCCGGUAAACGGCGGCCGUAACUAUAACGGUCCUAAGGUAGCGAAAUUCCUUGUCGGGUAAGUUCCGACCUGCACGAAUGGCGUAAUGAUGGCCAGGCUGUCUCCACCCGAGACUCAGUGAAAUUGAACUCGCUGUGAAGAUGCAGUGUACCCGCGGCAAGACGGAAAGACCCCGUGAACCUUUACUAUAGCUUGACACUGAACAUUGAGCCUUGAUGUGUAGGAUAGGUGGGAGGCUUUGAAGUGUGGACGCCAGUCUGCAUGGAGCCGACCUUGAAAUACCACCCUUUAAUGUUUGAUGUUCUAACGUGGACCCGUAAUCCGGGUUGCGGACAGUGUCUGGUGGGUAGUUUGACUGGGGCGGUCUCCUCCUAAAGAGUAACGGAGGAGCACGAAGGUUGGCUAAUCCUGGUCGGACAUCAGGAGGUUAGUGCAAUGGCAUAAGCCAGCUUGACUGCGAGCGUGACGGCGCGAGCAGGUGCGAAAGCAGGUCAUAGUGAUCCGGUGGUUCUGAAUGGAAGGGCCAUCGCUCAACGGAUAAAAGGUACUCCGGGGAUAACAGGCUGAUACCGCCCAAGAGUUCAUAUCGACGGCGGUGUUUGGCACCUCGAUGUCGGCUCAUCACAUCCUGGGGCUGAAGUAGGUCCCAAGGGUAUGGCUGUUCGCCAUUUAAAGUGGUACGCGAGCUGGGUUUAGAACGUCGUGAGACAGUUCGGUCCCUAUCUGCCGUGGGCGCUGGAGAACUGAGGGGGGCUGCUCCUAGUACGAGAGGACCGGAGUGGACGCAUCACUGGUGUUCGGGUUGUCAUGCCAAUGGCACUGCCCGGUAGCUAAAUGCGGAAGAGAUAAGUGCUGAAAGCAUCUAAGCACGAAACUUGCCCCGAGAUGAGUUCUCCCUGAGACUUAGAGUCUCCUGAAGGAACGUUGAAGACGACGACGUUGAUAGGCCGGGUGUGUAAGCGCAGCGAUGCGUUGAGCUAACCGGUACUAAUGAACCGUGAGGCUUAACCUU